GUCUGGAGCUAUGAGACACGGUCAGACACUGAGAGGCGUGGCUUCUUAUCAAACCCCACAGUUCCACUCACCAUACGGACCAACUGUUGUUACUCCCUAUGAUUACAUCUCUGAGCCUGGCCCGUCACCACUUCUUCAUGAUGCCCUACAGAACCGUUCUCAUUUGCAGAAUGUCUCUUCUCUAAGAUCUCCUAUGAUGCAACGGCGUAACCCUUGUGCACCAGCUGGCCCUCAGCUCCAUAAUGCUCUUCAACAGAACCCAAACUUACGACAGGCGUCUUAUCGGACACCUGUACAACUUAGACGGUACCCAUAUGGACCCCCGCCAUCCCCUUCACCAAUGUUGGGAAGUGCCCUUCAAAACCGACAGUUAAUGCAGGCAUCGUACCGGCUGCCAGAUGGAACCUUGGUGUCACCAUAUGCAGCUUCACCUUCCUCCCCGUUGCUCGGACGUGCCUUGCAAAACCAACAAGUCCGUGGAGCCACGUACACUUUGCCCGAUGGAUCAGUUAUCAGGGACCCGCGUAUUCCCCAGAAUCACAUGUCUCCUAACCUCUCAAGAGCCCUUCAGAACCAGAGUGUCAGGACUGCUGCAUAUACUCUCCCCGAUGGCACCAUUGUAGACCCGAGACAACAACAACCCAUUUCCCCAAACCUGGCCAAGGCACUCGGCAACCCAGCUCUGCGUGAAGCCUCCUAUUCUCUCCCCGAUGGUACCAUUGUGAUUGACCCCAAGAAACCAAAGUCCCCAAACCUUUCAGCAGCUCUUCAGAACCCUUACCUGAAAGUUGCAUCUUACACCCUGCCUGAUGGUACAAUCAUCAUUGAUCCACGGAAACCGGUCUCUCCAAACCUCUCCGCCGCCCUUCAAAAGUCUGCCCUGCGGAACGCCUCCUUCACACUACCAGAAGGGGUCCAUGACCCCAAUAGACCCCUUUCACCCAACCUGGCUAAGGCCCUUGGUAAUCCAGCCCUGAAAGGAGCUUCAUACACCCUCCCAGAUGGAACUAUUAUUGUAGACCCGAGGAAACCAAAGAGUCCAAGCCUGGCUGCUGCACUACAGAAUCCUUACCUUAAGGGUGUGUCCUUAACCCUGCCUGAUGGAACAAUCAUCAUUGACCCACGAAAACCAGUUGGCCC
ensembl:lncRNA